GCGCGCGCGUCGCGCACUAUUAUAAGAAUCGAGCGAAUCUCCCGCCGGCUCAUAACAAGUCUGAUAUUUACUGUGAACACACGUACACAGAUCCUUCAAAAUGUAUACGAAUCCAUUUGAAAGAAAACAUUCAGCGCUAAGGCAGGCCCUGGAUCGUUUCAUCCGGGGUGAGACGAGAAUAAGCUUCAGGACUAAGAAGCCAACAUUGAAAAACAACGGGAGCAAUUCGUCAAUUGGAUCUGCAACAACAAUGGACUUCAAUACUAAAUAUAAUCAGAAAAGAUGAACUUAAGUGAUGUGAUUAGUGCCAGUGAUUAUAAUUUGCACGAUCCGUUAUAAAAUAAGGUCGGAUCGGACCGGAUUCAAUACUUUGACGUCAAUAAGCUUAAAUGGGGUCAAUAUUGUAUCGUCAUUAGUUUGGUCGAUGGAAAUAAUACUUGAAUGUAUUAGUAUUUGAUGUUAUAAAAUAUUAAAAAAUAAUCAAACAAA